UACGAAGGGUGCUAGCGUUGUUCGGAAUUACUGGGCGUAAAGCGCGCGUAGGCGGCUUGUCAAGUCAGGGGUGAAAUCCCACAGCUCAACUGUGGAACUGCCUUUGAAACUGUCAGGCUAGAGUGUCGGAGGGGAUAGCGGAAUUGCUAAUGUAGAGGUGAAAUUCGUAGAUAUUAGCAGGAACACCGGUGGCGAAGGCGGCUAUCUGGACGACAACUGGCGCUGAGGCGCGAAAGCGUGGGGAUCAAACAGG
rnacentral:rRNA from 1 species